rnacentral:rRNA from 1 species
UACGUAGGGUGCAGGCGUUAUCCGGAAUUAUUGGGCGUAAAGAGCUCGUAGGCGGUUUGUCGCGUCUGCUGUGAAAACCGGAGGCUCAACCUCCGGCCUGCAGUGGGUACGGGCAAACUAGAGUGCGGUAGGGGAGAUUGGAAUUCCUGGUGUAGCGGUGGAAUGCGCAGAUAUCAGGAGGAACACCGAUGGCGAAGGCAGCUCGCUGGGACGGUACUGACGCUGAGACGCGAAAGCGUGGGGAGCAAACAGG